rnacentral:rRNA from 1 species
GGGUUGUGAGGUUAAGCGACUAAGCGUACACGGUGGAUGCCCUGGCAGUCAGAGGCGAUGAAGGGCGUGCUAAUCUGCGAUAAGCGCCGGUAAGGUGAUAUGAACCGUUAUAACCGGCGAUACCCGAAUGGGGAAACCCAGUGUGAUUCGUCACACUAUCAUUAACUGAAUCCAUAGGUUAAUGAGGCGAACCGGGGGAACUGAAACAUCUAAGUACCCCGAGGAAAAGAAAUCAACCGAGAUUCCCCCAGUAGCGGCGAGCGAACGGGGAGGAGCCCAGAGCCUGAAUCAGCAUGUGUGUUAGUGGAAGCGUCUGGAAAGGCGCGCGAUACAGGGUGACAGCCCCGUACACAAAAGCGCAUGUGCUGUGAGCUCGAUGAGUAGGGCGGGACACGUGGUAUCCUGUCUGAAUAUGGGGGGACCAUCCUCCAAGGCUAAAUACUCCUGACUGACCGAUAGUGAACCAGUACCGUGAGGGAAAGGCGAAAAGAACCCCGGCGAGGGGAGUGAAAAAGAACCUGAAACCGUGUACGUACAAGCAGUGGGAGCACCCUUUGGGUGUGACUGCGUACCUUUUGUAUAAUGGGUCAGCGACUUAUAUUCUGUAGCAAGGUUAACCGAAUAGGGGAGCCGGAGGGAAACCGAGUCUUAACCGGGCGUUAAGUUGCAGGGUAUAGACCCGAAACCCGGUGAUCUAGCCAUGGGCAGGUUGAAGGUUGGGUAACACUAACUGGAGGACCGAACCGACUAAUGUUGAAAAAUUAGCGGAUGACCUGUGGCUGGGGGUGAAAGGCCAAUCAAACCGGGAGAUAGCUGGUUCUCCCCGAAAGCUAUUUAGGUAGCGCCUCGUGAAUUCAUCUCCGGGGGUAGAGCACUGUUUCGGCUAGGGGGCCAUCCCGGCUUACCAACCCGAUGCAAACUGCGAAUACCGGAGAAUGUUAUCACGGGAGACACACGGCGGGUGCUAACGUCCGUCGUGAAGAGGGAAACAACCCAGACCGCCAGCUAAGGUCCCAAAGUCAUGGUUAAGUGGGAAACGAUGUGGGAAGGCCCAGACAGCCAGGAUGUUGGCUUAGAAGCAGCCAUCAUUUAAAGAAAGCGUAAUAGCUCACUGGUCGAGUCGGCCUGCGCGGAAGAUGUAACGGGGCUAAACCAUGCACCGAAGCUGCGGCAGCGACACUGUGUGUUGUUGGGUAGGGGAGCGUUCUGUAAGCCUGUGAAGGUGUGUCGUGAGGCAUGCUGGAGGUAUCAGAAGUGCGAAUGCUGACAUAAGUAACGAUAAAGCGGGUGAAAAGCCCGCUCGCCGGAAGACCAAGGGUUCCUGUCCAACGUUAAUCGGGGCAGGGUGAGUCGACCCCUAAGGCGAGGCCGAAAGGCGUAGUCGAUGGGAAACGGGUUAAUAUUCCCGUACUUGGUGUUACUGCGAAGGGGGGACGGAGAAGGCUAUGUUGGCCGGGCGACGGUUGUCCCGGUUUAAGCGUGUAGGUGUGUGUUCCAGGUAAAUCCGGUUCACUUUAACACUGAGGCGUGACGACGAGGCACUACGGUGCUGAAGCAACAAAUGCCCUGCUUCCAGGAAAAGCCUCUAAGCAUCAGGUAACAUCAAAUCGUACCCCAAACCGACACAGGUGGUCAGGUAGAGAAUACCAAGGCGCUUGAGAGAACUCGGGUGAAGGAACUAGGCAAAAUGGUGCCGUAACUUCGGGAGAAGGCACGCUGACACGUAGGUGAAGUGAUUUACUCAUGGAGCUGAAGUCAGUCGAAGAUACCAGCUGGCUGCAACUGUUUAUUAAAAACACAGCACUGUGCAAACACGAAAGUGGACGUAUACGGUGUGACGCCUGCCCGGUGCCGGAAGGUUAAUUGAUGGGGUCAGCGCAAGCGAAGCUCCUGAUCGAAGCCCCGGUAAACGGCGGCCGUAACUAUAACGGUCCUAAGGUAGCGAAAUUCCUUGUCGGGUAAGUUCCGACCUGCACGAAUGGCGUAAUGAUGGCCAGGCUGUCUCCACCCGAGACUCAGUGAAAUUGAACUCGCUGUGAAGAUGCAGUGUACCCGCGGCAAGACGGAAAGACCCCGUGAACCUUUACUAUAGCUUGACACUGAACAUUGAGCCUUGAUGUGUAGGAUAGGUGGGAGGCUUUGAAGUGUGGACGCCAGUCUGCAUGGAGCCGACCUUGAAAUACCACCCUUUAAUGUUUGAUGUUCUAACGUGGACCCGUUACCCGGGUUGCGGACAGUGUCUGGUGGGUAGUUUGACUGGGGCGGUCUCCUCCUAAAGAGUAACGGAGGAGCACGAAGGUUGGCUAAUCCUGGUCGGACAUCAGGAGGUUAGUGCAAUGGCAUAAGCCAGCUUGACUGCGAGCGUGACGGCGCGAGCAGGUGCGAAAGCAGGUCAUAGUGAUCCGGUGGUUCUGAAUGGAAGGGCCAUCGCUCAACGGAUAAAAGGUACUCCGGGGAUAACAGGCUGAUACCGCCCAAGAGUUCAUAUCGACGGCGGUGUUUGGCACCUCGAUGUCGGCUCAUCACAUCCUGGGGCUGAAGUAGGUCCCAAGGGUAUGGCUGUUCGCCAUUUAAAGUGGUACGCGAGCUGGGUUUAGAACGUCGUGAGACAGUUCGGUCCCUAUCUGCCGUGGGCGCUGGAGAACUGAGGGGGGCUGCUCCUAGUACGAGAGGACCGGAGUGGACGCAUCACUGGUGUUCGGGUUGUCAUGCCAAUGGCACUGCCCGGUAGCUAAAUGCGGAAGAGAUAAGUGCUGAAAGCAUCUAAGCACGAAACUUGCCCCGAGAUGAGUUCUCCCUGAGACUUAGAGUCUCCUGAAGGAACGUUGAAGACGACGACGUUGAUAGGC